rnacentral:rRNA from 1 species
CACGUAGGGGGCGAGCGUUGUCCGGAUUUAUUGGGCGUAAAGAGCUCGUAGGCGGCUCAGUAAGUCAGGUGUGAAAACUCCAGGCUCAACCUGGAGACGCCACUUGAUACUGCUGUGGCUAGAGUCCGGUAGGGGAGCAUGGAAUUCCUGGUGUAGCGGUGAAAUGCGUAGAUAUCAGGAGGAACACCGGUGGCGAAGGCGCCUAUCUGGCCCGAUACUGACGCUGAUGCGCGAAAGCUAGGGGAGCAAACGGG